AGCAGCGUGCCUCAGUGGGAAGAGGACGGGCUUGGGAGUCAGAGGUCAUGGGUUCUAAUCCCAUCUCCGCUG
rfam:Ornithorhynchus anatinus chromosome 4, whole genome shotgun sequence.